rnacentral:rRNA from 1 species
GAUGAACGCUAGCGAUAGGCCUAACACAUGCAAGUCGAGGGGCAUCACAUGAAGUAGCAAUACGGAUGGUGGCGACCGGCGCACGGGUGAGUAACACGUAUGCAACCUGCCUUCAACAAGGGGAUAACCCGUUGAAAGACGGACUAAUACCCUAUAACACAGGGGUCCCGCAUGGGAAUAUUUAUUAAAGGACAACCGGUUGAAGAUGGGCAUGCGUUCCAUUAGCUAGUAGGUGGGUAACGGCUCACCUAGGCGACGAUCCCUAGCUGGUCUGAGAGGAUGAUCCGCCACACUGGGACUGAGACACGGCCCAGACUCCUACGGGAGGCAGCAGUGGGGAAUUUUGGACAAUGGGCGCAAGUCUGAACCAGCCACGUCGCGUGAAGGAAGACGGCCCUACGGGUUGUAAACUUCUUUUGCAAGGGAAUAAAGUAGGGCCACGUGUGGCCUUUUGCAAGUACCUUGCGAAUAAGGAUCGGCUAACUCCGUGCCAGCAGCCGCG